GACGAACGCUGGCGGCGUGCUUAACACAUGCAAGUCGAACGGAAAGGCCCUGCUUUCUUGGUAUUCUCGAGGGGGGAUCGCGUGAGUAACACGUAUGUAACUGGCCCUAGACUUUCGUGUAACUUCAGGAAACGGGGCCUAAUAUCGUAUAGGAGCUGACGUGGGAUGGAGGGCGUUGGAUCUUUGCAGCGGUUUGGGAUGGAUUAGCGGGUUACGAGUUUGCUGGUUGGGUAGUGGAUGACCAAGGCUUUGACGGGUACCCGGCCUGAGAGGGUGGCCGGCCACAUUGGGACUGAGAGACGGCCCAGUCUGCUACGGGAGGCAGCAGUGGGGAGUAUUGCACAGUGGGCGGAAGUCUGAUGCAGCCACGCCGCGUGCGGAAUGACGGCCUUCGGGUUAUGAACCGCUUUCGCCUGUGACCCAGCGGGAGUGACGGUAAUGGGUAAAGAAGCACCGGCUAACUACGUG
rnacentral:rRNA from 1 species